CGUCGCCACCAUGGUGCUGUCACAGAGGCAACGUGAUGAGCUGUUACCAUCUCCCAAAGCCUGCAAAGGGACUUCUGCAGUCAUGUGAUGCUGUGCUCUGAUACACGAUGGCAGCUGGAUAAUAAGCAAAGCAAAUCCACACGCCAGAGGCAGUCAGACAAGAUAUACCCACAGGGGCUCAUCGCAGACUGAUAAGACAGUGUUUGUUUACCGAGGAGUGAUGCGCAGGGUUUGUGGAGUCGAUGUGGGAGGGGUAUGGGAUGCUGUCUGGCUGGCAGUGGUGAUGUGGAUCCGGAAGCAAGCACUUAGCGGAAAUGAUGUUAGAGCGGGAUGACUCUUCUUCAGAACGAAUGAGAAACCGAGCGAUAGCUGAUUACCUUCGUUCAAUGGAUAUGAAGAGGCAUAUUCAGUUUUCAAAAAGGAGGCGGAAUUA